GAUGAACGCUGGCGGCGUGCCUAAUACAUGCAAGUCGAGCGAACGGACGAGAAGCUUGCUUCUCUGAUGUUAGCGGCGGACGGGUGAGUAACACGUGGAUAACCUACCUAUAAGACUGGGAUAACUUCGGGAAACCGUAGCUAAUACCGGAUAAUAUUUUGAACCGCAUGGUUCAAAAGUGAAAGACGGUCUUGCUGUCACUUAUAGAUGGAUCCGCGCUGCAUUAGCUAGUUGGUAAGGUAACGGCUUACCAAGGCAACGAUGCAUAGCCGACCUGAGAGGGUGAUAGGCCACACUGGAACUGAGACCCGGUCCAGACUCCUACGGGAGGAAGCAGUAGGGAAUCUUCCGCAAUGGGCGAAAGCCUGACGGAGCAACGCCGCGUGAGUGAUGAAGGUCUUCGGAUCGUAAAACUCUGUUAUUAGGGAAGAACAUAUGUGUAAGUAACUGUGCACAUCUUGACGGUACCUAAUCAGAAAGCCACGGCUAACUACGUG
rnacentral:rRNA from 1 species